AGUUUAAUAAUUAAAAAAUUAUAAUUAAUAAAAAAAAUUUUAAUAUAAAAAUAUUAUGGGGGUUAAAGUAUUUUUAUAAGAAAAAAAUUAUUAAUUUUAUAGUUAAUUAGUAUUGUGUAAGAAUUAUGAAAUAUUAUUAAAUAAAAAAUUAUAGAAAAGUAAAUUUUAUUUAUUGUAUCUUGUGUAUCAGAGUUUAUUAAUUAAAUUUUUUUUAUAUAAAAAUUUCUCGAAUUUAAAAGAGAUAAUUAAUUAAUAAAUUUAUUGUUGUAAAAAUAUUUUAAAUAAUUAAUUUGAAAUGAAAUGUUAUUCGUUUUUAAAUAUAUCUAGUUUUUUUAGAAAAAAAUUUAAUUUUUUAUUUAUUUUAUUAAAAAAUUAAUUGAUUAAUUUUUUAAUAAAUAAUAUAUAAUAUUUUAAGGGAUAAGCUUUAAAAUAAAAAGAUUUAAAUGAGUUAUUAUAAAAAUAAAAAUUAUAAAAUUUAUAUUGUUUAAAAAAUUUAAUUUAUUAUAAAUAAUUUUAUUAAUAAUAAAAUUUAAUAAAAAUUUAAUUUUUUUUAUAAAAAAAUAAUUUCAAAUAAAUAAAAAUUAGAAAUAAUGAUAAAAUUAGUAUAUAAUUAAUUUAUAAUUUAUUAAUUUUUAUAAAAUUAAUUUAAAGGAAUUCGACAAAAAUUUAUAUUCACUUGUUUAACAAAAACAUGUCUUUUUGAAUAAUAAUUUAAAGUCUAAUCUGCCCACUGAUUUAUAUUAAAGGGCUGCAGUAUUUUGACUGUACAAAGGUAGCAUAAUCAUUAGUCUCUUAAUUGGUGACUUGUAUGAAGGAUUGGAUGAAAUAUAUAUUGUCUCUAAAUUAAAAUUAGAAUUUAAUUUUUUAAUUAAAAAGUUAAAAUAUUUUUAAAAGACGAGAAGACCCUAUAGAGUUUUAUAAAUAAUAUAAAUAAGAUUAUAUAUAAAAAAUUCAAAUUAAAAUUAUAUUAUUUAUUUUAUUGGGGUGAUAAAAAAAUAAAUUUAACUUUUUUUUAUAUUUAUAACAUAAAUAAAUGAAUUUUUGAUCCAAAAUUUUUGAUUAAAAGAAAAAAUUACCUUAGGGAUAACAGCGUAAUUUUUUUUUUUAGUUCUUAUAAAAAGAAGAGUUUGCGACCUCGAUGUUGGAUUAAGAUAAAAUUUAAAUGCAAAAGUUUAAAAUUUUGAUCUGUUCGAUCAUUAAAAUCUUACAUGAUCUGAGUUCAAACCGGUGUAAGCCAGGUUGGUUUCUAUCUUUAGAAAAAUUUAAUAUUUUAGUACGAAAGGAUUGAAUAUUAGAAUUAAAUUUUUUUUUUUAUGAAUUUAAUUAAUUUAAUUA
rnacentral:rRNA from 1 species